GGCAAUCCACAUCAAUCUUCUAUGUUUUACAAUUGCAGUUAUGUGUCUUGCUUCAAUGAUAUUUGUUGGUAAUAAAUCAAUUCUUUCACUAAAUUUUGUUAUGUUGUCAAUGAAAUGUCUUGUAAUUGUAGAAUUUGAUAACAGUGUUUUAGAUUAUUAUAAGUUUGUUUUUUAGAAACAUUUUUUUAAGAAAAAUUAUAUCAUCAUAUGUUUGAAAUGACAAUGUCUUGUACAUUAGAAAAUAUUUAUAAUAACUUUUAAUUGAAUGUAACAUAAGUUGANNNNNNNNNNNNNNNNNNNNNNNNNNNNNNNNAUUCACAAAUCAAGAAAAUUGUUUUAUUUCGGGGAGUUGUCUAAAUAAGUCGUUUUAUUAUAUUGCUCUGCUUAUUGUAGAACAAGGGGCUACAUUUUGGUGGCAAUUGUUUUAUUGGCUCGGGCAUUUGUUGUUGUACACCAAAUUUUGAUGUGUUAUAAAUAAAAUGUUUUGCAGUAAUUUAAAUUCUUAUAUUUCUGUUUUAAGCUGUGAGUUUUAGAAGCAUUUUUAUUUUGAAAAUUUCUAUCAUAGGUUUGAAAUGACAAUAUCUUGUAUAUUAGAUGAUAUUUCUAAAAUAACGUUUAAUUGAUUGUAGCAGAAGCUGAUUUGACAAAUUCAGGAACUUGCUUUCUUACGGGGACUUGUCCAGUAAACACAUAUGGGUGUUCCCUUCAAUGUAAAGAUAAGGGCUUUCGUUUUGGUGGUCACUGUCAACAAGGGGUUUGUUGUUGUACACCAAAUAUUUGAGAGAUUUAUGUUUGAUAGUUGCA
rnacentral:lncRNA from 1 species